GGCAAAAUGUUAUUUGUCCUUUGGUUGGGAUCCCAUUGUAUCUCUAAAUUGCUUAUGGUAGAAUGGAAAUUUUCAUUUUGUCGAUUUUACCGAUGAAUGAACAUGGCAGAUUUUUCUAUUUUUGUGUGUCUUCUUCCAUUUCUUUAAUGUUUAUUAAUUUUCAUUGUAGACAUUUUCAUGGAUAUGAAACUGGACACCGAGUUGACGCUGAAGUUCAGCUGCUGGGUAAUCUUCCAUUUCUGGAGCCUGCUCAUCUUCCUUGUAAAACCCGGCUAGGCCUUCACCCUGGACAGGAGCAACUGAGGAUCUGGAUGUGAAACUAACCCAGAGUGGACGCUGAAGCUCAGCUGCCAAGUAAUCUCCCAUUCCCAGAGAG
rnacentral:lncRNA from 1 species